AGGGCGGCCAGAGGCAAUGUCAGCUGGAUCCAAGGAACUGUCACGGAAGAGUGAUGAAUCUUGCACAAUUAAAAGGUGAACACGCAAGUAGAUCAAGACAAAGAGACCGAGAUGACAAGAGGAGAUGGGUAGAUCUUCUUAAUCAGAAAAAACGUGACCUUCAACAUCAGAUUGGACAAGACCGCAUGGAUUGAUGGGAAUAAUACAUAGGUACUUAUGUCGAUAUACAACACGAAUUUAUUACAUAAAUUUAUUUGAACCGACUGGAUGACUUUCACCGCUGCAGUUGACGCACUCCCUACCCUCGCUAUAGACUGUGUGAUUUAAAUCAACGAGUAGAAUACCCUCGAGAUAAACACUGAGGGCGCCACUUAAAAAAGCUAAGGCAUAGACCUUGUCGUGGAAUAGUCCAUGUGCAUUAAACUUGCAUCCUGGUCUAGCUAGCGAUCAAGUUUGAUCGCUAGCUAGACCAGCAUGCACCUCUUUCAACAGUUAGCGCUUGCGCAAUGUGUAUUUUUGAACAUGUCUAGGCCUACUAUGACUGAGUGUGCGUUCGUUUUAGCUCCCCUGGGUCGACCCUGGCCUGCCCCUGGUACGUUCAAAUAGCUUUGGCGUCAUUCCAGAGGCUCACUCGGGUCAGCCCCCCCAUUGCCCUGCUUGUGGACUGGGUCACUUGGGGGCUGGCCCCAGGUGCAUGACGUCACUACGAGAGCGGUGAGUGAUCGAUCGUUUAGCUCUUGUCGGGGGCUCGCCCGAGUGAGCACCGCGGGGUAGACCCAGGGAAGCUAAUCGAAUGCAACCUGGGUGUACGCAUUCGGCCCCACGAAACCCCAAAACCAAGUAGGCCUACGUUAAGACCAGUGAGUUUUUAGAGUGAGGGCGGGGCGUGCUCUAGGCCUUUAACACAGUAAAUACGGAGCAACUUGUGCCAAUAAAAUUGUCCCAAUACAGAAAUGUCCAUGUAAUUUUUAGAAGUACUGUUUACAAUGGUAGCUUAUGACCUUUUAGUGAAUGUGUUUUCUUUAGCAUUACUCCUAUCUUUGAACAUAACGGAUGACAAUAAAGCAUCGAGAUAAGAAAGACGCAACAAUGCACGUACAUUUUGCUUUAAAACAGCAAGCCAACAAAAUAAUAAUGAGGUUAUGGUAACAUUAUUUAUUGUCGUAUAUAGUGACUUCUCUGCAAGACCACCAACGUGUACUUUGGUAACAUUCCAUUAAAAAUAAUGGUUUAUUUAAUGUAGUAUUUAUAGUUUAGAGGCGUGCACUCAAAGUUCAAAAGGAAACGAAGAGGG